rnacentral:rRNA from 1 species
AAGUCGUAACAAGGUUUCCGUAGGUGAACCUGCGGAAGGAUCAUUAUUGAAUUAUCAAAUUUUGAUUUUUAACACACCUGUGCACCUUAGUCUUCAUCUCCUUACCGGGAUGUUGAUUAUAAAUAUUACAAACUUGAUGGUAUUGAAUGUAAACCUAUUUGUAACAAAAAUACAACUUUCAACAACGGAUCUCUUGGCUCUCGCAUCGAUGAAGAACGCAGCGAAAUGCGAUAAGUAAUGUGAAUUGCAGAAUUCAGUGAAUCAUCGAAUCUUUGAACGCAAAUUGCGCCCUUUGGUAUUCCGAAGGGCAUGCCUGUUUGAGUGUCAUAUAGACCUUCACCCAAUCGGUUUUCUAACCUGAUUGUCUGGUGCUUUGGAUGUCUGCCAACUAAUAUUUGGCUCAUCUUAAAUGUCUAAGUGUGAAAUUAAGAAAGUUAUAAUAGCGUGAUAAGUCUUCGCUAUGCUUUAGCAUUUUUACUUGACCACUAUAAUCAAAUCUACUUUUUUAGAUCUGACCUCAAAUCAGGUAGGACUACCCGCUGAACUUAA